rnacentral:rRNA from 1 species
AAUUCGCCCUUAGAGUUUGAUCAUGGCUCAGAUUGAACGCUGGCGGCAUGCCUUACACAUGCAAGUCGAACGGUAACGCGGGGCAACCUGGCGACGAGUGGCGAACGGGUGAGUAAUAUAUCGGAACGUGCCCAGUCGUGGGGGAUAACUGCUCGAAAGAGCAGCUAAUACCGCAUACGACCUGAGGGUGAAAGCGGGGGAUCUUCGGACCUCGCGCGAUUGGAGCGGCCGAUAUCAGAUUAGGUAGUUGGUGGGGUAAAGGCCUACCAAGCCGACGAUCUGUAGCUGGUCUGAGAGGACGACCAGCCACACUGGGACUGAGACACGGCCCAGACUCCUACGGGAGGCAGCAGUGGGGAAUUUUGGACAAUGGGGGCAACCCUGAUCCAGCCAUGCCGCGUGCGGGAAGAAGGCCUUCGGGUUGUAAACCGCUUUUGUCAGGGAAGAAAUCCUUUGGGCUAAUAACUCGGAGGGA